UACGUAGGGACCAAGCGUUGUUCGGAUUUACUGGGCGUAAAGGGCGCGUAGGCGGCUUGACAAGUCACUUGUGAAAUCUCCGGGCUUAACUCGGAACGGCCAAGUGAAACUGUCAUGCUAGAGUGCAGAAGGGGCAAUCGGAAUUCAUGGUGUAGCGGUGAAAUGCGUAGAUAUCAAGAGGAACACCUGAGGUGAAGACGGGUUGCUGGGCUGACACUGACGCUGAGGCGCGAAAGCCAGGGGAGCAAACGGG
rnacentral:rRNA from 1 species